GCUCAGGAUGAACGCUGGCGGCGUGCCUAAUACAUGCAAGUCGAACGCACAGCGAAAGGUGCUUGCACCUUUCAAGUGAGUGGCGAACGGGUGAGUAACACGUGGACAACCUGCCUCAAGGCUGGGGAUAACAUUUGGAAACAGAUGCUAAUACCGAAUAAAACUUAGUGUCGCAUGACACAAAGUUAAAAGGCGCUUCGGCGUCACCUAGAGAUGGAUCCGCGGUGCAUUAGUUAGUUGGUGGGGUAAAGGCCUACCAAGACAAUGAUGCAUAGCCGAGUUGAGAGACUGAUCGGCCACAUUGGGACUGAGACACGGCCCAAACUCCUACGGGAGGCUGCAGUAGGGAAUCUUCCACAAUGGGCGAAAGCCUGAUGGAGCAACGCCGCGUGUGUGAUGAAGGCUUUCGGGUCGUAAAGCACUGUUGUAUGGGAAGAACAGCUAGAAUAGGAAAUGAUUUUAGUUUGACGGUACCAUACCAGAAAGGGACGGCUAAAUACGUGCCAGCAGCCGCGGUAAUACGUAUGUCCCGAGCGUUAUCCGGAUUUAUUGGGCGUAAAGCGAGCGCAGACGGUUUAUUAAGUCUGAUGUGAAAGCCCGGAGCUCAACUCCGGAAUGGCAUUGGAAACUGGUUAACUUGAGUGCAGUAGAGGUAAGUGGAACUCCAUGUGUAGCGGUGGAAUGCGUAGAUAUAUGGAAGAACACCAGUGGCGAAGGCGGCUUACUGGACUGCAACUGACGUUGAGGCUCGAAAGUGUGGGUAGCAAACAGGAUUAGAUAC
rnacentral:rRNA from 1 species